rnacentral:rRNA from 1 species
UGAGCCUUGAUGUGUAGGAUAGGUGGGAGGCUUUGAAGCGUGGACGCCAGUCUGCGUGGAGCCAUCCUUGAAAUACCACCCUUUAAUGUUUGAUGUUCUAACUCGGCCCCAUAAUCUGGGGUGAGGACAGUGUCUGGUGGGUAGUUUGACUGGGGCGGUCUCCUCCCAAAGAGUAACGGAGGAGCACGAAGGUUAGCUAAUCACGGUCGGACAUCGUGAGGUUAGUGCAAAGGCAUAAGCUAGCUUGACUGCGAGAGUGACGGCUCGAGCAGGUACGAAAGUAGGUCUUAGUGAUCCGGUGGUUCUGAAUGGAAGGGCCAUCGCUCAACGGAUAAAAGGUACUCCGGGGAUAACAGGCUGAUACCGCCCAAGAGUUCAUAUCGACGGCGGUGUUUGGCACCUCGAUGUCGGCUCAUCACAUCCUGGGGCUGAAGUAGGUCCCAAGGGUAUGGCUGUUCGCCAUUUAAAGUGGUACGCGAGCUGGGUUUAGAACGUCGUGAGACAGUUCGGUCCCUAUCUGCCGUGGGCGUUGGAAGAUUGAGAGGGGUUGCUCCUAGUACGAGAGGACCGGA